GAGGUAGCAAAGUGUUCCAUGUUAUUUCAAACCAGUGGAAUCCUUCACUCAUUUCUGUGAAUCUCAACUAGCAAAAAUGCAAUUUUAGACUCAGCACCAUCUUUCAUAUUCCAGUUUGGACUGAAGCCCUUGUGCUAAUACAAUUAAAGAGGCAUAAGCAGCCUAACAAAUCGAGUCUAGCUUUUCCUUUGUUGCU